UGCUACGGUGUCCAGGCGGCCGGAAGGAGAUGGUCGGUGGUUGGAGGGGCUGUAGGCGCGCUGGUCUUACACGGUGAGGGCGGAGCACCCAGCCCGUAGGCUCAUCCCCUUCUCCGAUCCACUCUGGCGGCGGCCAUCGUUGGAAAGAGAUGCAGACGAGAGGAAGAGAGCCUCCCCCAAGCUCUGUCUAGGCGAUGCACGGGCGACGGCCACCCUUCCUGUUAUUGCCUCCAUGGCUGGCUGCUCAUCCCCAGGAACCUCCUCCCCUCUCACGUGCGCCACACUCUGGGAUUAAGUUGGAACACAGGUAUCUAGGGCAGGGCGUGGUCACAUUGCAGGCAGCGAGGAGCAGCGCAAAGUUGUCUUGGCUGUGCCCUGCAUCGAGGAGGAACACAGGUUGAACAAAUCCGACAUCUGUAAAUCAUCGAUGUUUUUCUGGAAGUAGUACAGUAGGUUUAAGAUUGGGCGAUGAUUCGUUCAUUCGACUGCCAGAAAUACUACAUGGUAGUCUUGAAGUAAAUACCAAUUAUGUGAUCCGAUAUGUUGUUUCAGAACAAUAGACCAUCAAUAUUAUUUUCGCCUCGGGUUCUAGAGGAGGACAGCUAAUUAAGAGAAAACUUCGGUGGGAUAGAGACAGAAGUUUGCUAUAUUUCACAAUACCCAAACAGAAUUUCAUUGCUGAUUCUUCUCCCCUGAACUUUGCUCAUGCCAAUUACAUUUUGUAGACCCUUUUUAAGGAAACUGCUUCGUUUACACCAUCCCAUUGGCAUGUCUAUUAGCAGUAAUGAAACUCAAACGAACACUUCUAGGCUAGAUAUUAUUGAGGUGUUGUGUACGUUGGUCCUUUUUAUAGAUCUUGCCAUCUUUGUUUGCCAGGUGAUCAGUCAUUUAAAGUAUUUGAGAAACUUGAAGGGAAGCACAUGGCAAAGCCAUAAUUACCUUUUAGUUAUAUUUCAAGUUGUAGGAAAGUUGGAAUCAAUCUGGAAAGCAUCUUUCUAUUGCAGAUAUUUUAUUAGUGGCUUGAAGACUUACACUCUGUUUGAUGUUACAGAAAUAGUGAGGUUAUGCCACAAUGCUGAUAGACUUGGUACUUGUAGGAUGGAGAGGAGAAAACUGAAAAGGAUGUUGAUAUGAGGAAUCCAAGGAAGUGGAAGAGGAAGAAAGUUCUGAUGAUGGUGAUAAUUAGAAUAUCAAGUUUGACGACGAUGAUGAUUGGAACCAAGAGGAGGAAGUACGUAAGUUUCCAUCUAUUCAUAUGGAUGUUAUCCUCGAUGUACUGUGACCAAAUAUCUGCCGCUAAAACCCACCAAAGAAUUAGCAAGAAAAUUGAUGGUGGGAGCUAGCAAUGCCGGCAGUGCCUCCUUUAGGAUUACAAAAUCGUUAAUCCUAUCUUCGCUUGCAUGUGACUGAUGGUGAUGCUACACAAGUUCUGAAGGCAGUGCCCUCCCCUUCAGCAGGAGAUCUUGCUGGUUCUGCAUGGCACAACUGGAUUAAAUAUGCUACAGCAAGCGAAGGAGUUCAACGAUGUUGUUGGAAUCAAAGGAUUCAUCCUAACGAAAUUAGACAGGACUGCUCGUGUUGGCUGUGUGGUGAGUGUUAAUAGACGAACUUGGAGUUCCAGCCAAGUUUGUUGGCGUCGGCGAAGGGGUGAAGAUCUCCAACCUUUUGAUGCAGAAGCAUUUGUUGAAGCCAUUUUCCCAUAAAUUUGACCCAGUUAUUAGCGUUUCUCAUGUAACAAGAUUUUGGCUAACAUGCUACUCCCUCCGUUUCUAAAUAUAUGUCUUUUUAGGAAUUCUAAUAUGGACUACAUACGAAGAAAAAUGAGUGAAUCUACACUCUAGAAUAUGUCUACAUUCAUCCGUAUGUAGUCCAUAUUCAAAUCACUAAAAAGACCUAUAUUUAGGAAUGGAGGGAGUAGAACUUGGUAGAAGCAAUUAUUUCAACAAUUACAGUUUUUUUGGUUCAGUCGUCGACUCAUCUGCCUGACUUGUUUCUGUCGUUGAUCCUAACUAUUCAUACAGAAACAGAAGCAAGUAUUUGUGAUAUUAUAUGUUUCUUGUGAUUAAGCUCAAGGCACGUUGCAGAUA